UCUACAGCACUGCUGCUCAGCAGCAGCUGUCCACUACUGUAGCCUGCUUGGAGUAGACUCACAGCAGAACCAAACUCUCUCUUACAGCUGCGUAAGAUUUCUGCAACAAUACUUAGUUAGCGCCAACGGAUGGAGCGACCGGUUCCUCCAUCUGCACAGACUGCACAGCAAGGACUUUUCUUUAAUUGGAACCAAUUAACCAACCAAUCAACCAACCAAUUCCCUGCCUGGUUCAUCCACAUGGCCAGCUAACAGCAGCACGCCAAUGAUCUUCUUCCUUUAAGGACCGCAGGGCAGGACCGCAUCAGAGUUCUCCCAGUGGCCAAAAGACACAAACAAUCGAGAGGGAUUAGACUGUAAUCCUGUUUUUACUUUCAUUUGCCACAUAUUCAGAGAAGAAGCUCUGUGAAGCAUGGAAUUCUUGCAGGAUAUGCUCCAUGGAAAAAUAAGGAGCCAGGGCUGUGAUUUUUUUCAGCGCAC